CGGCCGUGUACGAAAAGUCCUGGAAGAGCACCUGCUCCUCCUCUGUCAAGUGUCGCGGCUCCUUCGGUGGUGUUAACUGAGCCUUCUCCGACGUGAACUCCUCGUCAAAGUUUGACACAUCCUCCAAGUGGUUCUGCAAGGCACGAAUGGUGGUUUAACCUUUCGCAGCAGCAGGUCAUCCCACACUAUCGACCGGAAGAAUGCCUGUUUCUUAACAUCCUCCGCAUCCCGUUCCGAGGAUCCUAGACGUCUCUCUGGAUUCUUGCGCAAAAGCUGCCAAUUAAUUGACAUUAAGUUCUGCUUUCGAACAGUUACUUUAAGAAUCAAUCAACUUACCCUACGCAUCACGGCUAUGGCCUCCAGCGAGAGGAAACGCGGAUAGCGCACCUCAUCGUUGACAAUUGAAUCAAAUACUUCCUCCUCAUCGUCACCAGGGAAUGGGGACUGUAAGCAUCAAUUGAUUAUGAACUGAGUUAUUAAAGCUUGUUUCUUUCGACCUACCUCACCAA